rnacentral:rRNA from 1 species
CACGUAGGGUGCGAGCGUUGUCCGGAAUUAUUGGGCGUAAAGAGCUCGUAGGCGGCCUGUUGCGUCCGCUGUGAAAGCCCGGGGCUUAACCCCGGGUCUGCAGUGGAUACGGGCAGGCUAGAGGUAGGUAGGGGAGAAUGGAAUUCCCGGUGUAGCGGUGAAAUGCGCAGAUAUCGGGAGGAACACCGGUGGCGAAGGCGGCUACCUGGACUGACACUGACACUGAGGCGCGAGAGCGUGGGGAGCAAACAGG